rnacentral:rRNA from 1 species
UACGAAGGGGGCUAGCGUUGCUCGGAAUUACUGGGCGUAAAGCGCACGUAGGCGGUCUUUUAAGUCGGGGGUGAAAUCCUGGACGCUCAACUCCAGAACUGCCUUCGAUACUGGAAGACUCGAGUCCGGGAGAGGUGAGUGGAACUGCGAGUGUAGAGGUGAAAUUCGUAGAUAUUCGCAAGAACACCAGUGGCGAAGGCGGCUCACUGGCCCGGUACUGACGCUGAGGUGCGAAAGCGUGGGGAGCAAACAGG